rnacentral:rRNA from 1 species
CCUACGGGGGGCUGCAGUGAGGAAUAUUGGUCAAUGGCCGGAAGGCUGAACCAGCCAUGCCGCGUGAAGGUCAGUGCCCUAUGGGCGUUAAACUUCUUUUGUGCGGGAGCAAUAAUGGUCACGUGUGGCCAGACGAGAGUACCGUACGAAUAAGCAUCGGCUAACUCCGUGCCAGCAGCCGCGGUAAUACGGGGGAUGCAAGCGUUUGCCGGAUUUAUUGGGUUUAAAGGGUGCGUAGGCUGUGGGGUAAGUCCGCGGGGAAAUGCCCCCGCUCAACGGGGUGAAGGGCCAUUGAUAGUGCCUUGCUGGAAUGCGGAUGCCGUGGGAGGAAUGUGUGGUGUAGCGGUGAAAUGCAUAGAUAUCACACAGAACACCGAUUGCGAAGGCAUCUCACGAAUCCGCGAUUGACGCUGAUGCACGAAAGCGUGGGUAUCAAACAGGAUUAGAUACCCGGGUAGUC